UGGGGAAUUUUGGACAAUGGGCGAAAGCCUGAUCCAGCCAUGCCGCGUGAGUGAAGAAGGACUUCGGGUUGUAAAGCUCUUUUAGUCGGAAAGAAAGAGUUGCAAUGAAUAAUUGUGAUUUAUGACGGUACCGACAGAAAAAGCACCGGCUAACUACGUGCCAGCAGCCGCGGUAAUACGUAGGGUGCGAGCGUUAAUCGGAAUUACUGGGCGUAAAGGGUGCGCAGGCGGUCUUGCAAGUCAGAUGUGAAAGCCCCGGGCUUAACCUGGGAAUUGCGUUUGAAACUACAAGGCUAGAGUGCAGCAGAGGGGAGUGGAAUUCCAUGUGUAGCAGUGAAAUGCGUAGAGAUGUGGAAGAACACCGAUGGCGAAGGCAGCUCCCUGGGUUGACACUGACGCUCAUGCACGAAAGCGUGGGGAGCAAACA
rnacentral:rRNA from 1 species